rnacentral:telomerase_RNA from 1 species
UCGCCCGACGCCUCCCCUUCAGUUCUCCGACUCUCGUUUUCCGCCAGGAAUGUCUAUCGUAGACCUCUCACCUGGACUGAGUACCCACGAUACGUCGCAUCCGAGCCUGUAACAGGACCUCGCGAUCGCCGCGCUUGGAUUAUCGUGGCCUCUGGGUACGCCUGCAUCACAGUCCGGUUGAGGGAAUGAGUUUCGGAACUUAACCCUAAGUUGCCCUUUGGUUUAAGCUUUGCGCCCCAAGUCGUCGACCCUGCCUUCUAAGUCUGCUCUGCCUGUCUGCGACGCAAGCUACUGAAAAGUAGUGUAGCUGACCGGGGCUACGCGGACGGACGGGCAGGCAACACAGUCCAGUCACCAUUCGGUGCGCAAGAGGGGGUUACUAUGAGUCGAUUCGGUAAGAGCCUCUGGUCUGAGGCCGCUCGUCAGGACCUGUCCGCUGGAACCAGUACUCUGGCCAAGAGUAGAUCGAUCGGGGACGGCAGCAGACACGUUUCGCAGAGUUCCGCUGGCGGCUUUCUGACCUUCAGGCUGAUGAUGUGCUCGAUGGCAGCCGUCACCAAGUGCGAGGGGGGGAGGGAAGAGCGAAGCAUCGGCCACAAACAGUCAGCGUCAAAGUUUCUUUCAUCUCUCUCGGUCUUCCUUGCCGGGUGCACUUUGGUGUUGCGAGGAUUCCCAGACUACAAACAGAAACUCUACGACCUGACGAGCCGCAUUGCCAAACUGUCAGCUCUCGGUACCCAAGCCCCCAAGCACGGUCUGGACUUUACUCAGCAGAAAAGCCAAAAGCACUGGACUUUGCAGCAUGUCAGCGUCUCCCCGGACCACACUACGGCAAUUGCCAUAGCUGUGACAUGACGACGUGUGAUCUGGCCAGGCGCAUUAACCUUCAGUCGUGGGUUCUGUCCCACGAUGCCGAAGGACGCCAAACCACCAUUGAUUCUUCGGCAUCAAGACAUUCCUGUUGGUCUACCAGAAAUGGAGUCCUGCAGAUGAGAGCGCGGUUUUUUAUGGAUGUCUUUUGUCCGCGCGGAAGGCCCUCCUUUGUCACAAAGUUGACGGAGAGGAAACAAAAACCAGUCCCAGGAGGACGUGCGGUACAAACAGAGAGAGCUUGUCGUCCGUCGAGGCUCGUUCAGACUGCGAUUUGGCUCGCCGGGUCCCGCCGGCCUGAGUGCGUGAUGGCAGAUGCUCAUGAGCAGAGGGCAGCCCAGACGCGGACUGGGCUGGGAAGGUGAGGGGGUACUGACCCAAACGACCCUGGGACCCAUCUCGAGUUGGAGUCAGAGUUUUGUGCUCGUCCAGAAUCGUUAAGGGGAUGGACUCCUGGGCAUUCCUGACGCUCGGUGCAUGUGCACUUUUUGGAUGAAAGGGCAGGCCAUUUGGACGGUAGCCCUGGUUGUCAUCUCUCCAGCAUUGGUGAGAUGGCAACCCC